AGGGAUGUAGUGUAGUUUGGUAGCGCCUUUGUUUUGGAUAAAAAUGUCAUGGGUUCAAAUCCUUUCAUCCCUA
rnacentral:tRNA from 1 species